UACAGAUGGCAUAUGCUUCCUAAAAGUCCACCGUGCCAUAAUUAUACCCGUGCAGGACAGCCUCCCGAGAGGAGGAUAAUCGGCGCUGAUGAGAUUAUACAUUCACUUGGGGCAUGUUGGGAAAGAGAGGGGAUGACGGAGACAUGAAGCAGUUUACUUUUGGAGGAGAGUAGCUGGAUUUUGUGGAACCACUGCACCGCUCGCUGUCUAAUGUGGAGUCCUCACAGUUGUUUUUUACUCAUGACACCUCAUUUCAUGAGGUUUAAUUGUUAUUUUCACAAUGUAUGACUGUCGGUCAAUGAUGUUACUCAAAGAAAACACUCAAACUUCUGUACGUCUGACAGAGGUUGGUUUGUUUGUUGACAUAGAUUAUGAUACUGAUGAUAAAAGAGAAUGAAGUUGGUUUUCUGCCCUCUGUGAUGGAGACGCUGGGAGUCGAAGCAGGUUGGGAGUUUAAUAAUGCAAAGAACAUGGAAUGAUACAGAACAAGAGUAGCGUCUGGACAUGAAACACAGAAACAAUACUGGCUGAGGAAUGAACCUAAGGGAGUGACAGAUAUAGGGGAGGUAAUCAGUGAAUUGAUGGAGUCCAGGUGAGUCUCAUAAUGAGGCACUGGUGCGUGUAACAAUGGUGCCAGUUGUCCGAAAUGAUGGUUGCAUGACCCAGUGAUUAGUAAACCGGCAACGUCGAACUCCGGAGAGGGGGGUGGGCGUAGACGUGACAGUACCCCCCCCAAUGCGCGACUCCAGCCACAGGACGACGCCGGCCAGGGGGACAGACCUGAGGGUGAGGAGCGAGCCAGUCCUGAUGGCGAAGGGAAAUCACAGAGGAUGUGAUCCAGAAUGUCCUCCACUGGAACCCAACACCGUACCGCUCCCCAUGCACCAGGUACUGGAGCCCACCCCCACGACGUCGGGAGUCCAGUAGGAAUCUUACGGGACCUCCCUCGGGCAUCCAGGGGAGACGGAGGGGUGUCGUGGGGGACAGCCUCAGCCAGGGGACCAGGAACCACCGGCCUGAGAAGGGAGACAUGAAAAGCUAAGUCCCCUCCUGUUCCCUGAUUAAGAGGUGAUGACUACUCCACUCAACUUCCACUGUCAACUUACUCAUGACAUGAACUGAAGCCACAUCUCAUGUGCCUACUCAUCCACUGGCACAUUGAAUGUUUUCCCUCCACUCACUUCAACUCCUGUCCUGCACUGGUCAAGCCUCUGAACACCUCAACUCAUGCCUCAUACCCUCAUUCAAGCCCUGCUGUGAUCCCUUUCCAACUGUGUAAGUAGCCUUCUCAUUCCCCAUAAUAUUGUACUGUAAAUGUCUUUAUGAAACGCUUUAGGUUAAAAGUCUUUGACGAUUUUUGGAACACACUUUGUCAUCUCCAUGCGAUCCGCGCCAAUACCGUGGGUCGCCCAUCCUCUUCAAUAUUUCAAGUCUAUGUACCAGCCUCCACUGGUACAUAGCUUGCUCUACCCCUGUUAUUGUUGCACAAUAACCUUCAUUUCUUCAGCACCAAUGUAUUACAGUGAUUAUGAUUUGUGUUUUGUGUCAUUUUAUUACGUACAGUAAUUCAUACCACAAUAAAACACACUUAUUACAUCAAAAUCACAAUGUGAAGCUAGAGGGAAUAUUGACUAAUUUAACAAAGCAGAUAAACUUGAAUGCAUAGGAGAGAGAGAAUAGGAUAAUGGACCUCUACUCUCAACAGACCAUUAACAAUUAAUCUCACCAAAAACCUCAGUGUUCUGUGAUAGUUAAUGUAUUCGGAAGAUAACAAUGAUUCAGCAGAUCAGUAUGAGAGGGUUUUGCUGUAUUAUAUUUUACUGCUCCUUGUGUUGUGAGGACAAUGAAAAUGGAAAUAUUAAUUUCCACAAAGUUUGCUGCCUCAGUGUCUUUAGAUAUUUUUGUCAGAUGUUACUAUGGAAUAGUGAAGUAUAAUUACAAGCAUUUCAUAAGUGUAAAAGGCUUUUAUUGACAAUUACAUCAGCACGACAGAGUGAUCUCCAACCUUGUCCUCGUCAACACUCACCUGCGUUAACGAGAGAAUCACUGACAUGUCAGCUGGUCCUUUUGUGGCAGGGCUGAAAUGCAGCGGACAUUUUU
ensembl:lncRNA